rnacentral:rRNA from 1 species
UACGGAGGAUGCAGGCGUUAUCCGGAUUUAUUAGGUUUAAAGGGUGUGUAGGCGGAUUAUUAAGUCAGUGGUGAAAUCUCUCAGCUUAACUGAGAAACUGCCAUAGAUACUGAUAGUCUUGAAUACAGUUGAGGUAGGCGGAAUGUGUAGUGUAGCGGUGAAAUGCUUAGAUAUUACACAGAACACCGAUUGCGUAGGCAGCUUACUAAACUGUGAUUGACGCUGAGGCACGAAAGCGUGGGGAU